UGAACGUGAGCCCAUUGCCGCACUUCUUUACCCAUAAGUGAGUGCCUUGGUCAAAGGCAAUGCUGUGUGAAAUACUAUGACAGUGGAUAAGGCAUUCUGUGAGUCCAUGGAUGGUAGUCUUGGCAGAAGAAUUGUGUGCAGGAUAGGCAAACACAUAUCCAGAUUUUUACAAAACUGAAAGAUUUACCAGUAUACUAAGAUUGUUAUAAAUGGAUGAAGAUUCAUAAAUAUAAAACAACAUUACCACUCUCUGGUUUGCAAGGUAUUUACAAAGACAUUUGGAGAGAUAUUAUCAACAUUUUAUAGAAAAGGACCCUCAUCCUGACUAUGCUAUGUGAGUACAUAAAAAAAUUGAAUCCAGACAUU